CCUCUGGAGAGCCGCCCAAGCGGCAAUGGUCACCAGUGGUCACCAGCUCUUGAUUUCUGGAGGCCGGCCACAGGCAUGCGGAGUGUUGGGCCCAGCCCGGUGGAGGUAGAAGCAAGAUUCGUGUCCCCAGGACCAGGGAGUGGGGAGCCAGAUGGGGAAAGAGGCAUGGCAUGAUCCAGGCUUGACAGUCACAGGACAAUGACACCCCUGGAGUCUGAACCCCCACAGUGGGGCUGUAGGGUCCAUGGAGGAGCAUCUCGGGCUUUUCAGAGGAGAAACAGCCUCUGAGGUGGCUGGGCCUUUUCCAAGGCUACCCGGGUAGGAAGACGCCAAGCAAUGACUGGAACUCACGCCUGCGUUGAUGGAGCGGUAAAGCUGAAGUUCUAGAUAAAGGCAUUAUUGACAGGUGGCUGUGAGGCAAGUGUCCGGAUGCCCAGCUGACCCAGCUUGUCAUUGGUGUUUCUGGGGAAAGCGCCAAGGGACUGCUGGGAGCGAAGGCCUCACACUGGGCAGUCGCUGGUAAAGUCCUAAGGCUGGCUGCCCCCGAGGGUCCCGCUCGGCCUCUUCCUCUGAACCCCCAGGCCUUCAUCGCCAUGGGUGGGUCCUCCCAGUGUCCCCCACUCCCAGUCCUGGUCUGAGCCGUGGUCAGAGCUGCUCCUAGUUUCUAGAUCAAGGGCCUGGGACCCACUGAGUGUGUAUGCCUGGGGGACGGGUGUCCAAGGAUGGAUUUGAACCUCGUUCUUGGAUGUGAGGCCGUGACCUGAUCUCUCUGGCCUGGCUGGGGAGAGGCCGGAAAGACUGGUUACAGGAUGUCAUGACAGUGCUGGGGUUCCUGGGGACACUCCCUGAUUGACUCAGAAAUGUGAACUGGGCAUCCGUGAUUGACUGGUGCCCUGCCCCAGCACCCCCGUCAGGGAGCCACACUCCCGUGAAGGCCAAGACCAGUGGGUCGAGAAGGAAGAAACUGAGUCACGGAGAGGUCAAGUUAUUUGUGUUAGUUCUUACAGCUGAUGAGGGGCAGAGCCAGGAUUUGACCUGGAUCCAAAGUUUGGGCAUUUAAACUCCAACUUUCAGCUAGUGAUCAAUGCUGUUGCUGUCGGGGGAGGCUCUGUAGGAGGCCCUGGAGAGGAGGUGUCACUGGAGCCCAGACUUGAGCCCCUAGGAGACGGAAGUGUGGAGGUGGUGAUCCAGGCAGAGGGAACAGCCAGUGCAAAGUGAGUGCUCAGAGGUAGCAAAGAGGCCUGCAGGAACUGUGGGGCAAGGGGCUGGAUCACGCAGGGUUGGGAGGAGGGAGUGGUUGCUGGAUCACACUGGGCCUGCAGUCCACAAGAAGAUCCGCGGGGGAUUUCAGAUGUCAGGCAGGACCCCAGAGUUGGGACCCAGGAAAAGGGAGUCUGAUGACGACCUUUGAGCGCAGGCCACCCUGCUCUAGCCCCGCGUUUCUAGGGGGCUGGUCUUGCUGUGAACCCCCUAGCUCUCCCCACUCCGUCCCGGGCCCAGCGUGGGAGCAGAGGCCAGGGUGAGCAGAGCAGCUGGGCCUGGGAGGGCGGGGCUCGGGGAGGAGGGAGCCCCUCCACCAGGGCAGGAAGCGGGGCUGAAACCCGAGCCGCCUGGAGGGGAGGCUGGACCAGACCCAGGAGUCCCAGGGCUGCCCCGCCUCCAACCCCUCCCGCCCCGGCCGCUGCCCCGCUCGGGGGUGGAUGGUGUGCCCAGGGCUCACCCCCCGUCGGGGCCCUCAGCCUCUCCCACACCCCGCCGUCGGAGAAUUCACUUCCGGGGGGCCCGAAGGAGGUCCUGGCCCCCCACAGUGGAGGGGGGCUGGCUGGGGAAGCUGCAGGGUGCGGGCAGCCCUCCCCCCCACACCCCCCGGACCUGGGCUCGCCCCGCAGGCUCCAGCCUGACUCACCGCAGGCAGCUGUGGUUUGGGCCGCCGGUGGGGGUGGGGGGCAGCAGAGGACAGAGUUGGGGGUACCAAGCCCAGGGGAGCAGCUUCCUCGCGCCACCCACCCUGCCCUGGCCGGAGCUGCUGAGCCCUCAGAGCCAAGGCGCAGGGGACUGCCAGCCCCCCACCCUGUCCUUGGGGGUGACAGUGCCCCGAGCUGCAGAGUCCUGUGCCCCCCAGAACCGGCUCCGUCGCGGUGCUCUGGUGCUGAGCCCACAGGCCGGGAGCUGGCGGUGCGUGCAGGCCUGGAGUCCUGCCGGGGGCCUUCCGGUAGGGGACCCUGUCCGAGCCCCAAGAACGCCCCCCACCCCUCGCGGCCUGUAGGGGAAGGCAAGGGGUGGCCUCUCGGUCCUCCCCGAGCCGUGUGGGCUGAGCCCAGCCACCCGAGCCUCCCCUUGCCCAUCUGUGAAAUGGGCGCUUGACACUGCCCUGUGCUCAGGGGCCGCGCUGGGGAGCAGCCACGUUCAUCCCCGCCAACGGCUUGCUGUCACUUGUCAUGAAGCUCUGAGUCCUGCAUGUGGCUCACAUGCAGUGUCGCCGCGGGGGCCCCGAGGAAGGAAGCCGGUCACUCGUUCUGGAGCAGCAAACGGCCGAGGCCAGAGACCAGAAGCGCCCGCCCCUCUGGCUGCGGGCGGCGCCCUCCGCGGGGACACGGGGACCACGUCCUGCCCCCUCCCCGCCUGCUCCCGGGUCACCUCCAGGCCCCUUCGGUUUGCCGGGCCAUUUACGCUCAUUUGGCCCGUUUGCCGCGCGGCUGAGCUUGGAAUCAGUCAAUCAACCAAUUAUCGAGCGGCCUCCGGCCCGCGCUUCCCGGGCGCCCGUUCAGCCUUCACCCCCAGAGGCAUUUUGGAACCUUCCCAAGACAAAGGGCGGAAGGAAGGAAGGAAGUGCCACCCUGUGGACACAGCGAACAUGACAGUCCCCUGGCUCCGGGCCUUCUUCUCCAGGCCUGUGCAGGGCCCCGCACGGGCUCUGAGCCUGGGAGCUGGGGAUUAGCCCUGGCCCCAGCUUCAGCUGGGGAAACUGAGGCUCCAAGGCAUGCGAGACACCCCCCCCAUCUCAACCUGGGAGCCUAGGUGGCUCGGCCCGGGAUGUGCUCCUUCCCACCCCACCGCCCUGCACCCGGGGUCACCUGCUUCCCAGCCCUCCCUGCUCUCCCUCCCUUUGCCCUGUAAGGCGGGUGUGUGUGUGUCGGGGUGGGGGUCGGGGUCCUGCUGGCUUCAGGCUGCGGAGUCCUCGCUGGUGGGAGAGGGCACCACCAGGAGGAGGGGAGAAGCUGACUCUCCCCCCUCCUUUUGUUUUUGCCAUACACAGUGUCACCUGCGAGGCUCCCAACAGCUCCCUCUGGGUCCCAUAAUACCAGCUCCGCCCUACACCGUGUUUACUUCUGGCUGCCUCAUUGUUCCCCCAUUGGGUCUUCAAAGAAAUAAUCAUUUAGCGUCGCCUUCCAAUACACACAGCAUCAGACUUCCCAUUUGACCGGGUUUAAGUGUCCAAUCUGGGGUCAUUGGGUACAUCCACAUGGUUGUGCAGCCACCGCCACCACCUGUCUUCAGAACUUUCUCGGUCUUCACAAUGGAACCUGUGUCCCCACCAGACCCUAACUCCCCACCCCCGUCCCCCAGGCCCUGGCUCCCACCUGUAAGGACCUAGAGCAGAAGCCCAGGGCGUGAGGUGUCAGUGUGAUCGGUCCCAUUUGAGCUUUUAUACCUACUUCCCCAUAUUAAGUUCUUUGCAUCCAUGGACCCGCUGUGUCCCUGACCCCCGACAGGUGCGCCUAGACUCCUUGCGGUUUGGUUUGCCAUGUCCCGGGAAAGGGGUCUGAAGCCUGCACGUCAGACUCCAGUAAAGCUGGGGUGCACGAGAGAAUGGGGGUGUGCGUGCCUGGGAUGCCCACAGCUCUGGCCAAAUGUUGCUACUAUGGAAUUUGAGGCCCGAUUCGCCGGAACUCGUGAUUAUUUGGAUUUGUGUUGUGAGACCUCAUUUUAUUAUCUCAGCGAUUUAUUUCCUAGGUGUUCAUCCUUUAAGAAAACCUCAGAUCGGGGCAGCCCCGGUGGCCCAGCGGUUUGGCCCCGCCAUCGGCCGGGGAUGUGAUCCUGGGGUCCCGGGAUUGAGUCCCACGUCGGGCUCCCUGCAUGGAGCCUGCUUCUCUCCCUCUCCCUCUGCCUGUGUCUCUGCCUCUCUGUCUGUUAUGAAUAAA
rnacentral:lncRNA from 1 species